UACACAGACCCUACUAGAAUAAACAGACUAUACCAGAAUACACAAACCAAUACUAGAAUACACAGACCAUACUAGAAUACACAGACCAUACUAGAAUACACAGACCAUACUAGAAUACACAGACCCUACUAUAAUAAACAGACUAUACCAGAAUACACAAACCAAUACUAGAAUACACAGACCAUACUAUAAUACACAGACCAUACUAUAAUACACAGACCAUACUAUAAUACACAGACCAUACUAGAAUACACAGACCAUACUAGAAUACACAGACCAUACUAGAAUACACAGACCAUACUAGAAUACACAGACCAUACUAGAAUACACAGACCCUACUAGAAUACACAGAUCGGAAUGGUCUGUUCUGUCAGAGGAUGAUGGUCACAUCGCAUUCUACCUCCCAUGCAGAAUCACCAAUGCAUCGCUCCCUCUCUCUGUCCCCCUCUGUCUCCCUCCCGCUCUUAUAUCUCCCCGCGUCUAUCCCCUCUGCUCCCUCCUAACAGGUAGACACAGGCCUCAUCUCCCUCCUAACAGGCCUCAGCUCCCUCCUAAAAGGUAGACACAGGCCUCAGCUCCCUCCUAACAGGCCUCAGCUCCCUACUAACAGGCCUCAGCUCCCUACUAACAGGCCUCAGCUCCCUACUAACAGGCCUCAGCUCCCUACUAACAGGCCUCAGCUCCCUACUAACAGGUAGACACAGGCCCCAGCUCCCUCCUAACAGGUAGACACAGGCCUCAGCUCCCUCCUAACAGGCCUCAGCUCCCUACUAACAGGCCCCAGCUCCCUCCUAACAGGUAGACACAGGCCCCAGCUCCCUCCUAACAGGUAGACACAGGCCCCAGCUCCCUGCUAACAGGCCUCAGCUCCCUGCUAACAGGCCUCAGCUCCCUGCUAACAGGCCUCAGCUCCCUCCUAACAGGUAGACACAGGCCUCAGCUCCCUGCUAACAGGUAGAGACAGGCCUCAGCUCCCUGCUAACAGGUAGACACAGGCCUCAGCUCCCUGCUAACAGGUAGACACAGGCCUCAGCUCCCUGCUAACAGGUAGACACAGGCCUCAGCUCCCUGCUAACAGGUAGACACAGGCCUCAGCUCCCUCCUAACAGGUAGAGACAGGCCCCAGCUCCCUCCUAACAGGCCUCAGCUCCCUCCUAACAGGUAGACACAGGCCUCAGCUCCCUCCUAACAGGUAGACACAGGCCUCAGCUCCCUCCUAACAGGUAGACACAGGCCUCAGCUCCCUCCUAACAGGUAGACACAGGCCUCUGCUCCCUCCUAACAGGUAGACACAGGCCCCAGCUCCCUCCUAACAGGCCUCAGCUCCCUCCUAACAGGUAGACACAGGCCCCAGCUCCCUCCUAACAGGUAGACACAGGCCUCAGCUCCCUGCUAACAGGCCUCAGCUCCCUGCUAACAGGUAGACACAGGCCCCAGCUCCCUCCUAACAGGUAGACACAGGCCCCAGCUCCCUGCUAACAGGCCUCAGCUCCCUGCUAACAGGCCUCAGCUCCCUGCUAACAGGUAGACACAGGCCCCAGCUCCCUCCUAACAGGCCUCAGCUCCCUCCUAACAGGUAGACGCAGGCCUCAGCUCCCUCCUAAAAGGUAGACACAGGCCUCAGCUCCCUCCUAACAGGCCUCAGCUCCCUACUAACAGGCCUCAGCUCCCUACUAACAGGCCUCAGCUCCCAACUAACAGGUAGACACAGGCCCCAGCUCCCUCCUAACAGGUAGACACAGGCCCCAGCUCCCUCCUAACAGGUAGACACAGGCCUCAGCUCCCUCCUAACAGGUAGACACAGGCCUCAGCUCCCUCCUAACAGGUAGACACAGGCCCCAGCUCCCUCCUAACAGGUAGAGACAGGCCUCAGCUCCCUGCUAACAGGCCUCAGCUCCCUGCUAACAGGUAGACACAGGCCUCAGCUCCCUCCUAACAGGUAGACACAGGCCUCAGCUCCCUCCUAACAGGUAGAGACAGGACUCAGCUCCCUGCUAACAGGACUCAGCUCCCUCCUAACAGGUAGACACAGGCCUCAGCUCCCUGCUAACAGGCCUCAGCUCCCUCCUAACAGGUAGACACAGGCCUCAGCUCCCUCCUAACAGGUAGACACAGGCCCCAGCUCCCUCCUAACAGGCCCCAGCUCCCUGCUAACAGGCCCCAGCUCCCUGCUAACAGGUAGACACAGGCCUCAGCUCCCUCCUAACAGGUAGAGACAGGACUCAGCUCCCUGCUAACAGGCCCCAGCUCCCUGCUAACAGGACUCAGCUCCCUGCUAACAGGACUCAGCUCCCUGCUAACAGGACUCAGCUCCCUGCUAACAGGCCUCAGCUCCCUGCUAACAGGUAGAGACAGGACUCAGCUCCCUGCUAACAGGACUCAGCUCCCUGCUAACAGGCCUCAGCUCCCUGCUAACAGGUAGAGACAGGACUCAGCUCCCUGCUAACAGUCCUC